rnacentral:tRNA from 1 species
GCCGCCGUAGCUCAGUGGUAGAGCGCACCCUUGGUAAGGGUGAGGCCGCGAGUCCGAUUCUCGCCGGCGGCACCA